AGGCGCAUAGUAUAAUGGUAGUACAAGGGUCUCCAAAGCCCUUGGUGUGGGUUCGAUUCCUACUGCGCCUGCCA
rnacentral:tRNA from 3 species